GGGGACCUGCUGGGGCCUGAGCUCUCCAGCCCGGAGGCCACCAGAGGAGCUGCAUCACAGACUCUGCCCCUUGCAGGUGACUCCUAGGAAGGCAGAGGGGGACCUCGUCCCAGUUGUCCCUCCCAGACUAGAGGAAAGGACUCUGUUGGGUAAAACUUCGAUUUCCCUGUGCGUCUAACUCUGGGAGUGUGCAAGAUCUGCCGAACCACAGGGGGUUUCAUUUUUCACUUGCUUGGUGUCUGAGGAAAACUGCAAGGAGUGGUAAGAGGAAGAAGCAUUAUAAACUUUGGGAGCAGGGACAUCUUGGAAGUGGCAAGUAGCCUCAGACCGACGGUUCCUGGGCCAGUGACGUCCUUUGCUCAGACACUCUGAAGGGUCUGGACGCCGCCACAUGACCAACACCAGAGACCCCAGGAGAGCCAUGGAAUCCACGCUGGCACCAUCCAGUUCUGCCACAGGCCCAGUCACCUUCUCCCACGUCUUUGGUCAGCAGUGCCAGCUCAUGGAAGCAGGAAGCAGUGCAACACGGAAUAAUAACGACCAGCCGUCUCGAGGGGGAAUGCUCUCUCUGAAGACAUGCGAACAGGAGUAAGAGCCAAAAAGCUAAGUCAGAAGAGCUCACUCAAUCAGGAGGUGAAAGGGGUGGAGAGAAAAUGUGGACCCCUCUCUAGCCAGCCAUCUGGGGGUCCGUUGGCAUCACAAAUGAGAUCUUCCGUGUGCGAGAAAUGACCUCACGGCUCCAGGGGCUCACCGCCAUGUCUGUCACGUCUGUUCCCCAGUAAGAUGCAGCCCUCAGUCAGCAGGCUUCACUGAGCACCUACUAGGUGCCUUCUCUGCACGGUUUCCAGAACUACAGAAUCAGAAGAGUAAGUCAGAAGGAGACGAUCUUCCUCAAGGACAGGAUGAUCUCGGCGCAUGUAAAACAUAUUGAGGCUUUAACCAUUCCAUUUUUGAACAAUCCUUCCUAUAAGUCUUACAUAAGUUAUGUUAAUUUUCAAAAGUCCUGAACAAUUUCUACAGGCAAGGGAAACACUCAGGUUGUCUGCAUGCCCAUGUUCAUCCCACUAGGAAGUAGCAAAAGGGGAAGGUGAACCCCGGGCAGACGCCUAAGCCUGUACCUUUAACCGCUAAAGCAUGUGGUCCCAUUGAUGACUUGGCUUAAUCUCUUGUGUCUGUCAGUAUCCUAGGUCUUAGAAGAAGUUGAUUCUUCAGAGAUGGAGCAGUCAAGGAUGCUUAGUGGGGUGGAGAUGGGGGAGGAGUAUAAAAGGGCCCAUUAAA
rnacentral:lncRNA from 1 species